CUGUACAACAGAAAAAAAAAAAAAAAAAAAAACACUUUAAAAGGCAAAGGAAACAACACAAUAAACAGACAAACAGUGAUGCAUUCCCAGUGACCUGAGCAGACACCUAGAAUAAGCCUCUGAAAAUAUAACAUUUGAAAA